rnacentral:rRNA from 1 species
AGCGGCGGAUGGGUGAGUAACACGUGGGGAACCCGCCCCUAAGUCUGGGAUACCAUUUGGAAACAGGUGCUAAUACCGGAUAAUAAAGCAGAUCGCAUGAUCAGCUUUUGAAAGGCGGCGUAAGCUGUCGCUAAGGGAUGGCCCCGCGGUGCAUUAGCUAGUUGGUAAGGUAACGGCUUACCAAGGCGACGAUGCAUAGCCGAGUUGAGAGACUGAUCGGCCACAUUGGGACUGAGACACGGCCCAAACUCCUACGGGAGGCAGCAGUAGGGAAUCUUCCACAAUGGACGCAAGUCUGAUGGAGCAACGCCGCGUGAGUGAAGAAGGUUUUCGGAUCGUAAAGCUCUGUUGUUGGUGAAGAAGGAUAGAGGUAGUAACUGGCCUUUAUUUGACGGUAAUCAACCAGAAAGUCACGGCUAACUACGUGCCAGCAGCCGCGGUAAUACGUAGGUGGCAAGCGUUGUCCAGAUUUAUUGGGUGUAAAGCGAGCGCAGGCGGAAAAAUAAGUCUAAUGUGAAAGCCCUCGGCUUAACCGAGGAACUACAUCGGAAACUGUUUUUCUUGAGUGCAGAAGAGGAGAGUGGAACUCCAUGUGUAGCGGUGGAAUGCGUAGAUAUAUGGAAGAACACCAGUGGCGAAGGCGGCUCUCUGGUCUGCAACUGACGCUGAGGCUCGAAAGCAUGGGUAGCGAACAGGAUUAGAUACCCUGGUAGUCCAUGCCGUAAACGAUGAGUGCUAAGUGU